GCAGCCGCGGUAAUUCCAGCUCCAAUAGCGUAUAUUAAAGUUGUUGCAGUUAAAAAGCUCGUAGUUGAAUUUCGGGGUCAGCAGGUUGGUCGUGCCACUGGUAUGAACUGGCCUUGCUGAUUCCUCCUUCUUGAAGAACCGUGAUGCCAUUAAUUUGGUGUUGCGGGGAAACAGGACUGUUACUUUGAAAAAAUUAGAGUGUUUAAAGCAGGCUAACGCUUGAAUACAUUAGCAUGGAAUAAUAAAAUAGGACGUUUGAUCCUAUUUUGUUGGUUUCUAGGGUUGACGUAAUGAUUAAUAGGGAUAGUUGGG
rnacentral:rRNA from 1 species